rnacentral:rRNA from 1 species
GAUGAACGCUGGCGGCGUGCCUAAUACAUGCAAGUCGAGCGAACAGACGAGGAGCUUGCUCCUCUGACGUUAGCGGCGGACGGGUGAGUCACACGUGGAUAACCUACCUAUAAGAGUGGGAUAACUUCGGGAAACCGGAGCUAAUACCGGAUAAUAUAUUGAAGCGCGUGGUUCAAUAGUGAAAGACGGUUUUGCUGUCAGUUCUAGAUGGAUCCGCGCCGCAUUAGCUAGUUGGUAAGGUAACGGCUUACCAAGGCGACGAUGCGUAGCCGACCUGAGGGGGGGAUCGGCCACCCUGGAACGGGGACACGGUCCAGACGCCUACGGGAGGCAGCAGAAGGGAAUCUUACGCAAUGGGCGAAAGCCUGACGCAGCAACGCCGCGUGAGUGAUGAAGGUCUUCGGAUCGUAAUACUCUGUUAUUAGGUAUGAACAAAUGUGUAAUUAACUAUGCACGUCUUGACGGUACCUAGUCAGAAAGCCACGGCUAACUACGUG